UACGGGGGGGGCAAGCGUUGUUCGGAAUUACUGGGCGUAAAGGGCUCGUAGGCGGCCAACUAAGUCAGACGUGAAAUCCCCAGGCUCAACCUGGGAACUGCGUCUGAUACUGGAUGGCUUGAAUUCGGGAGAGGGAUGCAGAAUUCCAGGUGUAGCGGUGAAAUGCGUAGAUAUCUGGAGGAAUACCGGUGGCGAAGGCGGCAUCCUGGACCGAGAUUGACGCUGAGGAGCGAAAGCUAGGGGAGCAAACGGG
rnacentral:rRNA from 1 species